rnacentral:tRNA from 1 species
GGCGCCGUGGCGUAGUGGUUAGCGCGCCUGCCUGUAUGCAUUAAGUAAUGGGUUCAAGGCUCAUCGCUGCUA